UAUUCAGUAGCACCUUAGAGACCACCUGAGUUUGUUCUUGGUAUGAGCUUUUGUGUGCAUGCUCAUACCAAGAACAAACUUAGUUGGUCUCUAAGGUGCUACUGGAUA